UACGUAGGGUGCGAGCGUUAAUCGGAAUCACUGGGCGUAAAGCGCACGUAGGCGGCUUCUUAAGUCAGGGGUGAAAUCCUGGAGCUCAACUCCAGAACUGCCUUUGAUACUGAGAAGCUUGAGUCCGGGAGAGGUGAGUGGAACUGCGAGUGUAGAGGUGAAAUUCGUAGAUAUUCGCAAGAACACCAGUGGCGAAGGCGGCUCACUGGCCCGAUACUGACGCUGAGGCACGAAAGCGUGGGGAGCAAACAGG
rnacentral:rRNA from 1 species